rnacentral:tRNA from 1 species
GUCACUUUGCCGGAGUGGUUAACGGGAUCGCCUGCUACCUAGCUUAGCGGUUGCUCUUUGAGCGCGUGUGUUCGAAUCGCACAGGUGACG